rnacentral:rRNA from 1 species
AUAGCGUAUAUUAAAGUUGUUGCAGUUAAAAAGCUCGUAGUUGAAUUUCGGGGUCAGUAGGUCGGUCGUGCCACUGGUAUGAACUGGUUUUACUGAUUCCUCCCUCUUGAAGAACUGUAAUGCCAUUAAUUUGGUGUUGCAGGGAAUCAGGACUGUUACUUUGAAAAAAUUAGAGUGUUUAAAGCAGGCUUUAGCUUGAAUACAUUAGCAUGGAAUAAUGAAAUAGGACGUUUGAUCCUAUUUUGUUGGUUUCUAGGAUUGACGUAAUGAUUAAUAGGGAUAGUUGGGGGCAUUAGUAUUCAAUUGUCAGAGGUGAAAUUCUUGGAUUUAUUGAAGACUAACUACUG